ensembl:lncRNA
GAAAGAGAGAUGUCCUUCAGGAAUGGCUGGGAUUGAGAAAGGGAGGGAAGACAGAGGCCAGUCCCAGGAAGAGGUAGACUCCACACUCAAGGCUACCAGCAGAGCACACCGUAUCAUUGUUAGAGCCUCCCCCUUCCUUAGCCUUUUCUGCAUGCCUCAGAAAGCGUUCACAGGGCUCAACCCUGCAGGGGAUCCUGAGAUGUAUCAGACAUGGAUCCUGCCCUCAAGGAGCUUACUGUCUAAUGUAGAAAAUGCCAAGUACCACAGCAAAUACCAUUCUAAAGGUCACUGGGGCUGCAGAAGAGAGAAAGAUGCAGGUUGGACCUCAAGAAAGGCCUGCCAGUGGAGGUCGCAUUUGAGCUGGACCUAGGAGGCUGAGAGGAAAUUUUCCACAGGCAGAGAUUGAAGAUGGCACUGGGUCCUAUGAAAUCUUUUACAUCAUCUGAUGAGCAGGAAUUCUCACAACCAACACAGAAGACAGAUGGGUGGUGUUUUGUCAUAAACCUCCGUCUUAGGUAUUGAGCAGUAUACUCAGCCAGCAUGAGAAAACUUUUUUCAACUUUCUUGGAGAUUUAGGAAUAAUAAAAUGC